GGGUAAGGGGUGGGGUUGAGAAUUGUUAAAGAAACAUUAUCAGUAGUUUAAAAUUGAAACAAAGUUACUCUGGAAAAGCCACUAAGAAAAAACUUUAAAUUCAUAUUACUUCUCAAACUGCAGCGUUUCAAUGCAUAUUUUUAACUGCUUUCCUUCAAAAGUUUGCCAUAAAUGUUUGAUGGCAUGCUGUUUCAACCAGGACAUGGGCACUUAGUUUAGAAUGUAAGAUUUUGCUGCAAUUUUAAUUUCCACUAUUUGCAAAUUAUUUGGAGGUAUAUACACCUGGAAAAAAAAAAUCAUGAGUGACGUGAUUAUCCAAUUAAGUCUGGGAAGUAAAAGUGUUUAGAGAAAUGGUCCUCAUAAAGUAAAUUAGAAAAAAAAAACAGUAAAAAGAAGCAAAAAAUUAAAAAAAGAAAGAAGACAAAAACAAACCUUUCUUCAAAGUGUACCUGCUUAAUCCCCACUGAGAACAGCUCUUCAGAGGCUGUCAACAGCUCUGUUUGGUCACGGUGACUGUCACUGACUUUUGCUCAAUGGAUGCCAGAAUGUUGCACUUAUCUUUUACUCAAGGUACUGAGUAAAAAUCAACACUGGACAAAGACCUCUGCCUAACGAGUAGAGCACCCCUGAGGCAGGCGGGAAGAGGAUCUAGGAAUGCAUCACCCUGCUACUGGCUGGUUUGAAGUAAGAUGCAUUUUCUCCCUAUGUUCCGAAGGCUACAAGAAACAAGGUUUUUUGACAACAGAUUAUGUUCAGAGUUUAUUGUAUUUUAUAAACGAGGGAUAAUCAACAUAUUGAAAUCAACCUUCAUUGUAUUUACAAACAAACAAACGAAAUCCACCACCUGUAGGGAAUAGGUUCAGGAAAAAUGCAGGUACAAUAAAUAAUUCACUU